CAAUCAAUUAACCCUGUCAUUGUCAAUCAAUUAACCCUGUCUGUUUAGAGUCCAGAAAAGACAGCUGAGUUAACUGUGUAAGAGUUCGUUUGCAGCUGGUGGUUGCAUUUAAUUCUUGUGUAGAGGGUUGCAUGUAAUUCUUGUGUCUGGAAAGCUCUGUAUAUAUUCCCUCGGGAUGGAUCGCCCUUCUCAUCCGUAGAUCUUCCUUAAUAUCUCCCUCCCUCUCCCUCCCUUUCUUAAUUAGCAUUACUUGUUAAGUUACACACUGCUUUGGAUGAUAGAUACAAUUUUUGCUGCUGAUCUUGGCGAGAACCUUGGCUUUUGCAUGGGUGUUGUCUUAACUGCGUUUUCGACUGUUUGAUAGCUCUUCCCAUUGUUGUUAGGCAACAGGUGACAAUGAAUCCAUGCCGUUCAUUGAGGCUUUGUGACAAUUGUCUUUUUCAGUUGAUCAUUCAAUUAUUGUCGUUGGAGUCGCUGAGAGAAGGAAAACCUCAUCCCCUUCAUUGCAGCCCUCUCUCUCUUUCUUCUCUCUUCCUUUCUCUCCUCCGUUGCGAAUGAUUAUCUGGAGGCUUCGACUUUAUAGGAGUGGCGUGUGUUGGUCUUCUUCUUCAGAUCGAACUCCAGCUUUCUCUCUGUUUCAGUCUCUUUCUCUCACGGAU